UACGUAGGGUGCAAGCGUUGUCCGGAAUCAUUGGGCGUAAAGAGCGUGUAGGCGGUCCGUUAAGUCGGCUGUGAAAGUCCAAGGCUCAACCUUGGGAUGCCGGUCGAUACUGCCGGACUAGAGUUCGGAAGAGGCGAGUGGAAUUCCCGGUGUAGCGGUGAAAUGCGCAGAUAUCGGGAGGAACACCGGUGGCGAAGGCGGUUCUCUGGGCCUUACCUGACACUGAGGAGCGAAAGCGUGGGGAGCGAACAGG
rnacentral:rRNA from 1 species